UACAGAGGUCUCAAGCGUUGUUCGGAUUCAUUGGGCGUAAAGGGUGUGUAGGUGGCGCGCUAAGUCGGGUGUGAAAUUUCGGAGCUUAACUCCGAAACUGCAUUCGAUACUGGCGUGCUUGAGGACUGGAGAGGAGACUGGAAUUUACGGUGUAGCAGUGAAAUGCGUAGAUAUCGUAAGGAAGACCAGUGGCGAAGGCGGUUCUCUCGGGCCUGGUACGUGGACGCUGAGGAGCGAAAGCGUGGGGAGCGAACAGG
rnacentral:rRNA from 1 species